UUUUCCCCCCGCGUGAGGGAUAGCAGCAGCAUCCUUUUGUGGAGUGCAACGGAGCAAAAGAUAUAGCGGAUAGCCCGACCCCGG
rnacentral:sRNA from 1 species